rnacentral:rRNA from 1 species
AGGAAUAUUGGUCAAUGGACGAGAGUCUGAACCAGCCAAGUAGCGUGAAGGAUGACUGCCCUAUGGGUUGUAAACUUCUUUUAUACGGGAAUAAAGUGAGGCACGUGUGCCUUUUUGUAUGUACCGUAUGAAUAAGGAUCGGCUAACUCCGUGCCAGCAGCCGCGGUAAUACGGAGGAUCCGAGCGUUAUCCGGAUUUAUUGGGUUUAAAGGGAGCGUAGGCGGACGCUUAAGUCAGUUGUGAAAGUUUGCGGCUCAACCGUAAAAUUGCAGUUGAUACUGGGUGUCUUGAGUACAGUAGAGGCAGGCGGAAUUCGUGGUGUAGCGGUGAAAUGCUUAGAUAUCACGAAGAACUCCGAUUGCGAAGGCAGCCUGCUGGACUGUAACUGACGCUGAUGCUCGAAAGUGUGGGUAUCAAACAGGAUUAGAUACCCUGGUAGUCCACACAGUAAACGAUGAAUACUCGCUGUUUGCGAUAUAUAGUAAGCGGCCAAGCGAAAGCGUUAAGUAUUCCACCUGGGGAGUACGCCGGCAACGGUGAAACUCAAAGGAAUUGACGGGGGCCCGCACAAGCGGAGGAACAUGUGGUUUAAUUCGAUGAUACGCGAGGAACCUUACCCGGGCUUGAAUUGCAACUGAAUGAUGUGGAGACAUGUCAGCCGCAAGGCAGUUGUGAAGGUGCUGCAUGGUUGUCGUCAGCUCGUGCCGUGAGGUGUCGGCUUAAGUGCCAUAACGAGCGCAACCCUUAUCGAUAGUUACCAUCAGGUUAUGCUGGGGACUCUGUCGAGACUGCCGUCGUAAGAUGUGAGGAAGGUGGGGAUGACGUCAAAUCAGCACGGCCCUUACGUCCGGGGCUACACACGUGUUACAAUGGGGGGUACAGAAGGCAGCUACACGGCGACGUGAUGCUAAUCCCGAAAGCCUCUCUCAGUUCGGAUUGGAGUCUGCAACCCGACUCCAUGAAGCUGGAUUCGCUAGUAAUCGCGCAUCAGCCACGGCGCGGUGAAUACGUUCCCG